rnacentral:rRNA from 1 species
CCUACGGGAGGCUGCAGUCGAGAAUCAUUCACAAUGGGGGAAACCCUGAUGGAGCGACGCCGCGUGGGGGAAUGAAGGUCUGCGGAUUGUAAACCCCUGUCAUGGGGGAGCAAAUUAAAAAGAGAGUACCACAAGAGGAAGAGACGGCUAACUCUGGGCCAGCAGCCGCGGUAAGACAGAGGUCUCAAGCGGUGUUCGGAAUCACGGGGCGUAAAGCGUGCGGAGGCUGUUUCGUAAGUCGUGUGUGAAAGGCGCGGGCUCACCCCGCGGACGGCACAUGAUACUGCGAGACUAGAGUAAUGGAGGGGUAACCGGAAUUCUCGUUGUAGCCGUUAACUGCGUCGAUCUCGCGAGGAACACUCGUGGCGAAGGCGGGUUCCUGGACCUUACCUGACGCUGCGGCACGAACGCCUGGGGAGCG